AGGGUGACUACUGGAAUGUCCUCCAGUGUAUCCCACAUCUUUUGUCUACAACAUGUAUAGCUGCUCCAGUGCACUUCUGCUCCAAGCUGGAUCUGUGCGGUAGCAUUAUUUGAAAGAGGAAAAAAAUGGAAGUAAUUUAUACCAGAAGUGUCCAGACAGUGGCAUACAUAUAUCCCCAAUGACAGAAAGGACAUCAGCAUCUUCUACAGCAGAGUAUGAAAAAAUAAUGCUAGUGGAGCCCUAAUGAUCCUGCUAGAUAUGUUACUUCCUAAUGCAAGAUACCACACAGUUCUAGGAGGAAGCUACGUAGAUACAAAUCAAAAUGACCUGCAGUGUGAUAUUCAAUACUAUGUUUGGAAAGCUUAACUGUCCGUCACUGAGUGCCUUGCUCUAGCAGUAAUGAUAGCAUUGAUUUCAAACAACAAGCAAGCUGUGACAACAUCUUGAGAGUUAUUCGCAUAAACGGAGGCUGCAAGCAGUUGAAUCUAUAGCAGGAAAGACAACUAAAAUACAAAAAAUGCCCUGAUACAGAAAGCUACUUGAAAGCUCCUUGGGGAAACAUACCUUAUGCUGGUGCCAUAUCUCGUUUAGAUCAACUGGGAAAAACAUACUUACCAAAGCUUCUUGAAAGUCAUGUGAAUCAUUGUUUCUCUAUUGUUUCCAUUAAAAGACCACUUGACCUUUUUGAAAAAAGCAUGUGGACAGUCUUGCUCUCCCGGGAUGUUUCUCAUGUACAAUUGAAUAAAUAUUAAGUUAAACUUAGAAUGCUACUUUUUGUUUUACCUACUUUGUUUUCAUGUGAUUGUAUGCAUGCAAAAUAUAAAAAUGGAUUUUUUUAGCUUUUUCCCUGUAUCAUUUUGGGGACCAUCUGCUGAAAUUUGUAAAUAAGUGAUAGAUAUGAAAGAACUUGAAAGAACUAUUGGGGAACUGUCUUGAGUUUUGUGUGUUGUAGACUGAUGCACAAGUGCUGGUGCCUCUGUGUUCAUCAGUCCCUUUUGUAGCAGCACCAUGCAGGAAAAAAGAAUUAUAUCUAUGGGAAAGGAAUCUAGAUUUUAAAUAUCUUCUAAUAGGUUGUUCUUUUUUAGAACGUAUCAGACUGAAGGUACAUAGCUAUGAGAACUCCUUCUGAAAUCUGAAACCUUUGUGCAUGAGCUGCAUGUUUUGUUAAUCCAAUGCCAAUUUAUUCAGGUUAUGUUGAGUACUUUGAACACAACCAAGCCAAACAUGCUUUGUAUCAAUUAAUGUUUUGAAUAUGAUUCUCAUUUUAAAGACAAUUUAUUCACAAGGGUCAAGUCCAAUGAGUUCAUCAAUGCAAUUUCUGAUGAGUUAUUUAAACACUGAGAUUGUUUUCCAGUCCUGAUUAUUAUUGCUUUGAGAAGUCUGCUAUCACUAUAGACUAAUCAUUUUUUUCUUACAAGGAUGUCUUUCAAAAU
rnacentral:lncRNA from 1 species